CUAUAAAGGCCUGCGAGUUUGCUGUGGUGUCUGAGCUUGUGAACCGCUACCUCCCGUGCGGUGCGGUUUACGGUUUUGCCCAAGGUGUCCGUUAACUGAAGGAAAUUGCACCACUUCAUCAGGUAAAGUACUCUGCACACUUUCUAUCUGUUCUUGGCGUGUGACUUUUCUAUGGCUCCUGUUUUUUCCUUGUUUGCCAAAGUGUCUCUUUUGAAGAAAUUUCAUUGGAUCUAAGUAUCUAUCUACAAUUGAUAUUUGUUUGCUUGAUUAGUCAAUUUGGUUGUAUUUCUUUUUUUCCAGAGAACUAGAGUACUUUCUCUCAGCAAGGCUGAGAAUAGGUGAGAGCUCAAGUCUUAAACCUGUUAUUCCACAACAUGAUGUAGGAUUAUCUUGUGAUGAACGUAUUGAUCGACAAGCAUAUGUCUGACUUGUUAUGAUGAUUGUCAUUAUUCUGAUUUAAUUGUUGGUUAGUCUAAGACUGCAUGGGCCUCCAACUACAGUUGGCUUAUUUCUACUUUUUUGUUACAGACCUGAGAAACUGGCAGGUACAUCUUGUUCCAAAGUCCUGUGUUGCGUACUGGUUGUGGGCAUUGCAGAGGCCUAGUUGAGGAUGCACUUCUUGGAUUGUGGUCUGGGAGUUGGUCAAUCUCCUGGAUGUGUGGUGGUGAGUGACUGCCUUUUAAUCUAGCCUGUGUUGCUGGUAUCUGAAAGGUUGAAUUGGGUUUUUACCCAUUAUAUACUUCUGGACGACUUCUUGUCAGAUGGCAUACUUGUCACCAAAGCACUGAUCAGCCAAACGGAAGUUUCACUGCUUGAAAGCACUUUGGUAUUGUCUUGA
rnacentral:lncRNA from 1 species